CUUUCUUCCAGCCUAAAUCUGUGACCUCGUGUCUUAUGUGUAGCCCUGUUUAUGAAUAGAUUUCCAGAUAAUAGUUUGUACUGGCCCCGAAUAUAUUUGUAUAAUGUUAUCAUAUCCCCUCUCAGGCGCCCUUUUUCCAAACUAAAGAGAUUUACAUUUUUUAACCUUUCUUCGUAACUAAAAUGCUCCAUGCCUUUCAUCAAUUUUGAAGCUCG